rnacentral:lncRNA from 1 species
UUUGUUAUCUUUAGGCCAAUUUGCACAGACUACAGCUGUAUCUACCUCUUGUACUACACCUGUAUCUACCUCUUGUGCUACACCUGGUAAGUUAAACAACUAUUAGUUUUUAAUGUGCAAACUUUAUAAUA